UCUGUCACCCAGGCUGGAGGGCAGUGGUGUGACCACAGCCACUGCAGGCUCGACCUCUGGGACUCAGGUGAUCCUCCCAUCUCAUCCUCCCAAGUAGCUGGGACUACAGGUUGCCUCUUCCAGAUCCCUUUUGAUCUAUUUUCAGCUAUGGAUUCUUGAGAAUCAAGACUAAGCAGCCUGAAAUGAAGGAGUAAGAGUAUCACCUAACAGUGAUUUUGCUGCCAUAGUAGCUGUUUGUAUACUGGCCAUAUGCCUAGGUAAAAUGAGGCCAGAUCACUCUAAGAGUUUUCUAUCAGAGUUGGUGGUGAACUACUGCUCACUGAUAAUGCUGUACUGGUCUGGAGCUGCACAUUCUUUUCAGACAACUCUUGUUCCAGCUAGAGUGCAAUGGUGCAACCUCAGCUCACUGCAACCUCCGCUUCCCAGGUUCAAGCGAUUCUCCUGCUUCAGCCUCCCUGGUUGCUGGGAUUACAGGUGACUCUUCUCCUGUAACAGAGCCUCCUUCUUAGAAACUAUGGCCUCCCGUUUCUUUAAGUCUUCUUCC
rnacentral:antisense_RNA from 1 species